rnacentral:rRNA from 1 species
AAGCCGCGAGGUGGAGCAAAUCUCAAAAAAACAAUCUCAGUUCAGACUGCAGGCUGCAACUCGCCUGCACGAAGUCGGAAUUGCUAGUAAUCGUAGGUCAGCAUACUACGGUGAAUACGUUCCCGGGCCUUGUACACACCGCCCGUCAAACCAUGAGAGUUGGCAACACCCGAAGUCGGUAGUCUAACCGCAAGGAGGACGCCGCCGAAGGUGGGGUUGAUGAUUAGGGUUAAGUCGUAACAAGGUAAC